AGUAUUCUCAUCUGCAGAAUAAUCCAGCUACACCGAGAAUGGAAAAGCAGAGUCAAGACCUGAUUCUCUCCAAAUGAUGCCCAGAUCUUCAAACAGGCCGAAUCUUUCCAGUCCUGAAAUGGCCUACUUGUGAACAUAGAACUCGCAGAGCUGUCAUCACCAGAGCCAUCCUUUUUGAAGUAAAUGAGUUUGUGAUUCUUCAGUAUGCCCCUAUGCACCAAACUGAAGGGCGUUCUUCCAUGAAUUUCUUACCCAGUAGUACCAGAAGGAUAAUUCUUUUGUGAUUUCCAUGUCCAAGAGAUUUAGGCUAAAAUAAAGAAUUAUUUUAC
rnacentral:lncRNA from 1 species